CGUGAUAGUCACUGUUAUAGAGGGAGCUCAAGCUGUGUGUUGUAAAGCAGACAAGAACGGGUGGUGUGCGGACUGUACUCCGACAACUCCAUAUUGUGGGUAUGGGAAGUGUAACAUAUUCGGCUGUGCUUGCAAAGGAGGCUGCAGAAAGAACUGCAACCCCGUGUACAGCGAUUAUUAUCGUCCACCGCCUUUCUGGGUAAGCUAUUUCCGAAAAUGCAGAUGCCAAAACAAAAGGUCUGUGGAAGAUGGGACCGGGGGAGGUACUGUCGCUAGAGAAACAUACCUUAAUUGAUGCACAUCUAGACGGAUUGCAGAGAAGAAAGAAGCUCAGAAGAUACAUAGCGAUAUUCAGACAAAAUAAAUUUAUGCUGUCGAGUAUAACAAUAGCACAGAUUAUCAAUUGGUA